rnacentral:rRNA from 1 species
CAAGGAAUUUUGGGCAAUGGGCGAAAGCCUGACCCAGCGACGCCGCGUGGGGGAGGAAGGCCUUCGGGUCGUAAACCCCUUUUCUCAGGGAAGAAUAAUGACGGUACCUGAGGAAUAAGUCUCGGCUAACUACGUGCCAGCAGCCGCGGUAAUACGUAGGAGGCAAGCGUUAUCCGGAUUUACUGGGCGUAAAGGGGGCGCAGGCGGCCUUUCAAGUCGGAUGUAAAAUCUCCUGGCUCAACCGGGAGGGAUCAUUCGAUACUGUUGGGCUAGAGUGCAGCAGGGGGAGGUGGAAUUCCCGGUGUAGUGGUGAAAUACGUAGAUAUCGGGAGGAACACCAGUGGCGAAGGCGGCCUUCUGGGCUGUUACUGACGCUGAGGCCCGAAAGCGUGGGGAGCGAACAGG